rnacentral:lncRNA from 1 species
UUUAAUUAUGUUGAGAUCAAAUUUUGAUAUUUAAUUUUUCAGGAUGAAAAAGACAACCUUUUGAUGGUUAUUUUUUUGGGGUCCAAAUUUUGUCACUGAUUUCUUUCUCCUUCCAACUUAAAGCUUUGUUUCAGAUUCAGUGGGAAUAGAGAAACUAAUUCCACCCUUCUUUUGGUUAGAAAAGAUAUAAUCAGUAAACACAGGACUUGUGACACAAUAGGACCUUUUGGAAGGAAUUUAAUUUAAUUAAGGAAAGGGUUUUCAUGACAUAAUGUUUAGUUUAUAAGUAAGACUUGAUGUCUCAUUCUAAAUCUGCAUAAGAAUCCAAAAAUGGCGAAAACAAGACAAAAACAAAAACCUACUGAAGUUAAUAUUAAUUUUAUGUUCAAAAUAUAUAAUAGUGCACAUAAAUAACUUUUGUUUUCUUUUCCUGCUCUAAUAAUUCAAGAUAAAAUGUGGUUGAAAUGCCCUGAAAAGUAACAAUUAAGGGGAGAUAACUCUGUUUUUUGCUUUCAUUCUAAUGAACCAAAAGUUAUCUAGAGAUUUCCCAAACUUCAAGACACACAGAAAUGAAAGACCUACAAUUAAUUAAUGAUGAGAAUUACUUCAUUAUAGAAUGGUUAGGUUGGUGGGUUGUUUUUUCGACCAUAUAUGUUUUGAUUUUUUUCAAUUUUUGAUCAAAGACUGACAUGGCACUUAAAACAAAUGUUUUACAUAAAUUCAAGUUAAACGCAAUGAUUAUAAAUCUUUAAUGUACAUAUGUAUAUAUAUUUAUAUCAAACAUUUUGUCAAAAGGUUGUUAACUUAGCAUUGUUAUUGUUGAUUAAUUAUUGUUGUUCAAACAUAAAAUCUUACGUGACACAGCUAUCAGAAGAUGUUGUUGAUAUUAUAAGGUUGCUGUAGAUUCAUUUAUUUUUGUGGGUAUCAAUACUGUGGAUUGAAAAAAAGUUGCCUUUUCUUAGUAUUUGAUUCCAUGGAUUUUUACCUACAUUAAUAAAGCCUAAAGAAAAUUUGUGUUUCAUUGAAGUUUUAGAAUAAAUGGUUAAACCCAUACUCACAAAAUCUACAAAAAUUUGUAUCCCACAAAAAAAUAAUCCACAGUAUUGAGAAUAGAUGAAUGUUAUGUUUCAUUGUUACUUUCGUUUUUAAUUGCAACUUGUUGUGUGUAAGGGCCUGUCAACUAUUUACUUCUCUUGAAAUUCAUUUAAAUUACCACACAGAAAACUACCCUGAAUGAACUUAAUUGGUGUAGAUUCUGAGGAACCUGGUGUCUAGAAAAUGAAAUGGAAGAUAAAAAAAUUGAUCUAAAUGUUGGUUAUGUUCUUCACUGUUUAUUUUGAACUUCUUCACCAAAUUAAAUAAGGGAGAUAACUCUCAUUUUUAAAUAGAUUUUGAAAACUGCCUGUGACUGAUGUUAGUAUCAUCUCCUUUUUGGGAUUUAUCUUAUUAUGUGAUUUUACUGUAAAAUUCAUCAUGUAUAUUAAGAUUUGUCAGGAUUUAUCACAAAGACUUGAAUAUUAAUUUGAUUGAACUCAUGACUACUGAAGAAAUUUAUUUUGUGUACAUUGUAUACUAUAUAUAGACUUUUAAAACAUAACAACUUUAGACAUGCUGAUUUAAAAAAAAUAACCUGUUCUCUUUUUUUAUUUUAUUUUGUUUUAAAGUAAUGUUUAUGUUUAGAAAUAAUCAUUAGACUUGAUUUAGAUUAAAAAAAAAAAAAAGGAAUAUGACCUUGCUAGGAGAUAAAUCAUCAGCUGAUUCACAAUGUAGAAUAGAAAUGUAUGUGAUUUUUUAAAACUGUUAAAUGUUCUGUUUUUUUAGUGAUUAUUACAAAUAUUUAGAUUUAUAUCAAGUUAAAAUGACAUUUCUGAAUUUCACUUCACAAGUGAUUUUAAAACAUUAUUAUGGAGCAUUAGUGUUAACAACAUUAUUGAGAGAAUUAAGUGGCCU